rnacentral:misc_RNA from 1 species
GAGCUGUGGAAGCCAUACAGACUAAGGAAGAAAGGCAGAGCACCUCUCGACUUGCGCUUGCCUGUCGGUCGGUCUGAGUUCCUUCUCUAUCUUUUCACGGGCGGUGCGUCACUGAGUGCGACACGCUUCAUGGACGUUGGUCGUCACCAUCGUUGUCAGGCGUACUCCUUGUGUGCUUAGCCUUUGUUAUUCUAAUUAAGGUCAACCGGCGUGUGAGCGUGGGGCCUGCCGUAUUGGGUGCGCCUACAUCUGCUACCGGCUUGCUUUCGUGCGAGCCAAGAUCACAGCUGUAAAGGCUAUUGUGUGUAUGCGUGUCUGUGUGCGUCGGCAUAUCGUCAGAAACGCCGCCCACCCCUGCUAUAAUGUUCGGCCGUCGUGUCUUUGCGAGCGCACCGCUCCCACGCCAUAUGUGGGCGAAGCUGCACAUCCAAAACGCGGCCCAGGCGCAGCGCAUGCUGCCCUCUCUCGCCCCUCUUGCCGCGGUGGAGGGAAAGCACAGCAGCUUCUGCUCCGGGCUCGCCUUCAACACGCUCUGCCGCAGCAGCGCCACGCUGGGUGGAGAGGAGGGUAUGGUGAGCGAGGAUGGAAAACUUGUCUCGGCUGAGGUUGCGGCAGCGUGCGCAGAGUGGUGCGCUCAGGCCCUUCGCUCAGCGAUGUUGCCACUGCAGCACUUAGCGUUCAGCUCUCCCCACUCAACGUGCCUAACCUGGCAGACAAAAAUGUGGCACUGAUGUGUGCACUCACGCACAGAGAAGCCAAAGAGCGCAUGGCCCAGAAUAGGUCCUCCUCGAUGAUAAACAAAAAAACGCAUGCACGCACGUGUAUGUGUGCGUGUACGUGAGGAAGAAAGAGAGAGAGCGAGAGCACGUCGGUGCUAGCAUGUACGUGUGCGUCUGUGUGUGUGUGUGGCGCAUAUCCUGUACCUGUUUUACCUCUCUUCGGCUUGCCUUUUACUUCGACAAUGGGAAGAGGGAAAGAAAGAGAAGGAAAGGGGCUGUCAUUGCCGUCCUUUCGUCGCCCGCCCGUUCGCACCCCCCCCUUCUUUCCAGUAUUCACAAAAUGGGUGAUUUUUUGUUGUUGGUGGUUUCCUUUUAUGGCCUUCGUUAUCUUUCCUCUUCUCUAUACAUAUACACGCACACACAGCUUAACAUCACUGUCGUCACCGCACCGGCGGCACGCGCGAGAGCUGCGGAGGUUUGGGAUGGAGGAUCAUCGCUGAAGGGGCGAACCAAAAAGAGGGCGAGAAUAGGGAAAGAGUGAGAAAGACGCCGCGGAGACGGUCCGCGGGAAGAUGGCGGCGACGAGGGCCGCACGGCGUACCGCCGGCCUCCUGCCACCAUGCAUUACUCUGCCGCACCGUUUUGUCUGUUGAAACACUUUGGCGCCCCACCCUUCCUUCCCCUUUUCCGCAGCAACACAUCAACCUUUCUCACGCACCGCGAACCCACCGACCCCUGUGUCACGCAACUCGCCGUCGUUGUACCUUUGUGUGGCUCG